ensembl:lncRNA
CAACAGUUUCCCUUUGUAAUUUCAGAGCUGCACAUUUGCAAAUUGCUAAAUGUCGUAUCACAUGAGGAGUUUCCUCCCAUGUAAACAUAUGUGUGCCAUGAUAAAACCUUCCUCCACACACUAGAAAUAAGAAACUAAUUUCAACCCUCUGUUACAUCUUAUUCACUUAUUUUAUAAUCAAGUCAUUUUUUCUAAUCUAGUAUCAGUCAACUAAUUUGCAUAUCAGCUCAUAUCAUCACUGAUCAAGAAACUUGAAGAUUAGAAUAUAGACGAAACUGUCAUUCCAUUAAUGACAGACAGUGACCUGGCAAAGUACAUCCCCAAAGUUGGCGAUAGAGUCUCCACUGUGGCCUUUUGCAGACAAGCAACACUGUCACGGACGUCACCAUCCAGGAAAGAAUCUAUAUUCUCAAGGCUACAACAAAGACUGACAGGAGCUGAGGGAAUGCCUCCUAAAAAGAGAUUGUCUCAGUGGGCAGAAAAUACAAAUGCAAAACGAACAGUGAGACGAAUUGAGGUUGGCUGGAUGCAUUUUGAUGAGGAGAAGGACGGGUUCAAACAGGUGAAGUCUGUAAGUGGUGGUGGAACAAGGCAUUUAUCUGUAGAUAAAAAUGAAACAGUGUCAAAUAUCAAACUUAUGGCUGAAAAUCUUUUUUCCCCAGUGGUAUCUCAAAAAACCCCAAAAGUCUUUGUUGGGAUUCAGAGAUUCUUUUAUUGCUGCCAUAUAACCUGCCUUAUGAUAAAUGCAUUAAGAACAUGUUUUACAGCAUUAUUUUAUCAGUAAUAUUUCUUACAGGGUUCAUAUUGCAUUGAAUAUGUUUGUCAUCACAUUCAUUCUAUUCACAGGUUUAGUUCAUUUUAUACACAUUGCAUAUCUGUGCUUGUUUAGAGUUGAUGUUCCAUCCAAGAGGGUUUUAAGCUUCACUGGUGAGAGUGUCCAGGUGAUACAUGUUGAGGGAAGAUGAGAAAAUAGCAGGUUAAUUGCAUGCAUGCUUACAAUACACAUAUUAAUCUAGUAGCAGGCCUGAGCGAAGGCCCAAGUGUCUUCUGCUUUUCUUUGAGACCUGCUGCAAUUCUGUCUACUUAGUGAUUGGUGACGAGGGUCAAUUAUUAGCCCUUAGAGACCCUGAAGCUUGAAGUUUAUUACCUUAAAAGGCAAGUGUUAUAGAAAAGAGAAGUUACAUGUCUGUUUAUAGUUAUUAGAGAUGUACAAGCUGUACCCUUGUCUGUAAACAAUGACUGUACAUAAUGUAUUUUUGACCUGUGUUGACGUGUAUGUGUGGGCGUUAAUUUUCUAUGCUAUAAAACCAGCAUUCAUUGUAUUUUUGUCAGAGGAAGACAUAUGCUGAUGUUUCUUCUCCGGUGUUAAUAAACUCAUCGUUUGAUUGCACUUGUCUGGUGCCUCCGUCGUUUGUUGUUCUGGUCUCCAAUUGAUUGAUAUCGCACGAUAUCUUCCACACUAUUCAACUCAUAUUGAGAGCUCACAG